rnacentral:misc_RNA from 1 species
AGCAGCCGCGGUAAUUCCAGCUCCAAUAGCGUAUAUUAAAGUUGUUGCAGUUAAAAAGCUCGUAGUUGAAUUUCGGGAUCAGUUGAUCGGUCGUGCCUCGGUACGUACUGGUCAAAUUGAUUCCUACCUUCUGACGAACCACGAUGUCAUUAAUUUGGUGUCGUGGGAAAUCAGGACUGUUACUUUGAAAAAAUUAGAGUGUUUAAAGCAGGCUCGCGCUUGAAUACAUUAGCAUGGAAUAAUGAAAUAGGACGUUUGAUUCUAUUUUGUUGGUUUCUAGGAUCGACGUAAUGAUUAAUAGGGAUAGUUGGGGGCAUUAGUAUUCAAUUGUCAGAGGUGAAAUUCUUGGAUUUAUUGAAGACUAACUACUGCGAAAGCAUUUGCCAAGGAUGUUUUCAUUAAUCAAGAACGAAAGUUAGGGGAUCGAAGACGAUCAGAUACCGUCGUAGUCUUAACCAUAAACUAUGCCGACUAGGGAUCGGAUGACGUUAAUUUUUUAAUGACUCAUUCGGCGCCCUAC